UGGGUUGGUCGGAUCCCUGCUUGUGCAGCGACGAUCGCUCUUACAUCCCUUUUCAUUCUUUCUCCAAGAGCGAUAUGCCUUGGACCAAUUCGGUUGCCUGUGUUGUAUACCUACGAUGAAAUGGAAUUUGGUCGUCCAAUCAUCCCUUAUUCAUUUUGUGCUGCUUACGCGGUGCGGGAUGAACCAUGCAGUGUCCUUUGUUGUCCGUUCUUGCCUCGCGUUCGUGCAACGCAUGAAAUGGCCAAUGUUGUGACACUUGAAUUCUAGGAUACGGAACCUUAAGCGGGUAACGGGCCUUUGGCCUAGAUUUGCCCAAACUAAGCGUUCUCGUUUCUUAAGAACGACUGUCGUGCCUGUUUUGACCUGAGGAUACUUUCGGUCCGACUGGAUCAUGCGGUGCCGGCGUCGAAGAGGAAUGCUAC
rnacentral:misc_RNA from 1 species